GGAGAGUUGGCCGAGUCCGGUCUAUGGCGGCGGAUUGCUAAUCCGCAGUGGGGGUUGCGGCCCCCACCGGGAGUUCGAAUCUCCCACUCUCCGC
rnacentral:tRNA from 1 species